rnacentral:rRNA from 1 species
UACAGAGGGGGCAAGCGUUGUUCGGAAUUACUGGGCGUAAAGGGCUCGUAGGCGGCCAACUAAGUCAGACGUGAAAUCCCUCGGCUUAACCGGGGAACUGCAUCUGAUACUGGAUGGCUUGAGUUCGGGAGAGGGAUGCGGAAUUCCAGGUGUAGCGGUGAAAUGCGUAGAUAUCUGGAGGAACACCGGUGGCGAAGGCGGCAUCCUGGACCGACACUGACGCUGAGGAGCGAAAGCCAGGGAGCAACGGG